rnacentral:lncRNA from 1 species
GAGGUAGUUACUCAUGAGAUGAUGGGUCGGGUCGUCACAAAAAUACACGGCUAAACCUUAUAAUGGUCAAGACAUCGAUUGAUACUUCGAUUCAUGAAACUAGGGUUUUAGAGCGGCCUUUAAUCCAAUAUUCGAGAACUACCCAGAUGAUUCAAGGGUCAAGGGAUACAGAUUUGUAAAGAGGAGAGUCAGGAGAACACACGGUGUUAAUUUGGUUGAGAUUGGAUUACUUUGCAUUUUUUGCCGGACUUUCGAUCUGAAAUUUGAGAGUUUUGGGUAGGAUUUUGGAAAAACUAAGGCCAGAUAUAGGGAGGGGGUGGAGGAGCACUUGUGGCGUAAUUUCUGGUGGAUUUGGGGCAUCGCCGCUGGCGGAUACAAUUUCCGGCCGUCGGUAGAUGGCGGAG